rnacentral:rRNA from 1 species
GAUGAACGCUGGCGGCAGGCUUAACACAUGCAAGUCGAACGCCCCGCAAGGGGAGUGGCAGACGGGUGAGUAACGCGUGGGAAUCUACCUAGUUCUACGGAACAACAGUUGGAAACGACUGCUAAUACCGUAUACGCCCUAUGGGGGAAAGAUUUAUCGGAAUUAGAUGAGCCCGCGUAAGAUUAGCUAGUUGGUGGGGUAAUGGCCUACCAAGGCGACGAUCUUUAGCUGGUCUGAGAGGAUGAUCAGCCACACUGGGACUGAGACACGGCCCAGACUCCUACGGGAGGCAGCAGUGGGGAAUAUUGGACAAUGGGCGCAAGCCUGAUCCAGCCAUGCCGCGUGAGUGAUGAAGGCCUUAGGGUUGUAAAGCUCUUUCACCGAUGAAGAUAAUGACGGUAGUCGGAGAAGAAGCCCCGGCUAACUUCGUGCCAGCCGCCGCGGUAAAAC